GUAUAAUAUAUUAUAAUGUAUGUAUAAUAUAUGUAUGUCUUUAAGACAUAUAUGUCUAGAGUUUAUAUAGGAAGGUAAAAACAUUCAGCUCAGGACUCUGAGUCUGAAUUUGCCUCCUUUUAUUAUUCUUUUAAUUAAAAAAUUUUUGUUUCAAGAUUUUAUUUUUAAGUAAUCUCCACACCCAACAUGAGGCUUGAACUCACAGCCUUGAAAUCAAGAGUCACACACUCCACCAACCGAGCCAGCCAGGCACUCCUCUUAAGUCAGUUUCUUUGUCAGUCUGUUAUCAGCCUUACUCUUCUUUUGAUGAUCCAAAAGAUCUCACUUUGUUGUCUAACACUGUUUGAAAUUUCAAAUGGAAUUCAUGUGGUGACUAAAGGUGAUUUUGAGUCCUUAUAAUUUUGAUCGUGCUUUUCCAAAGGAGAUUCCAGUUCUUUUGCCUUCCCGUCUUUGUUCAGUGGCCACCACUCCGGAUCCUCUUUAUACAAGCAAUGUAAAAAUAGCUUACUGAAGUGCCUUAUGGUAUUUAUAUCCAGAGCACUUUUUAGGCUGUUUCUUUUUUUAUGUUCCAUUGGUCACCAGAUAGUUUAGUAGAGAGAAUCAGGAACAGAAGUAGAACAUGUAAGACUGUUACCUGCUGGAUUCUUUUCAUCCGUGUUAGGUGACUUGGGACACCAGGCCAAAGGAGCUGUUCAGUCCUUAAAAUUUUAAGCAGUUGAACUUCCAAGAAAUUGCAGACGGUUUUAUUAACGCUUAUUUCUUCACCCACCGACUUGACCCUGCAUGUUGUGAGAAGUCAACAUCAAAAGAAUGAUACCUCCCUACAAGUGCUUAUUUAUUUGGAUUGGUCAGAAAGCACACCGCAUCACAGGACAGAGGAGGCUGGCAGGUUUCUACUCCGUGUUUGAUGCCAUCUGUGUCACCACCUUUAUGUUGCUGUUUGGGUUAGAGUCCUGUCGUCUUUUUGGUAUGCGGAAAAUGUGAGGAUUCCAUUUGUGUUUGCAAUUUCUGUAUUGCAAGAAUGUUGCUACUGUGAGAAGGUAAUUUUAUAGCUAGGAGGAAUGAGCUAACUCUUGCCCGCCAGGUUUGUAACUUACCAUUUAUGUGAUGGACAUAAAGGUAAAAAUCACCCUAUUCUCACAUGAUAGAUGUGGGAACUGAGAUUCAGAUUGUUGGAAGUAAUUUUUUCCUGCAUCUUUUAGUAGUGAGUGAUCUAAUGAGGACUUGAACCCAGUUCUAUCUUAUUCCAAAGGAGCCCUUCCCUUGUAAAUACUAACAAUGGAAUAUGUUUUCCAUUUCAAUUGCCUCAGUGUUAACCACAGCUUUUCCUUAAAGAAUACAUUGUGCUUUCACGAAUACAGGUUUGGAUAAUUCUGGGUGUGUGAAAUACUUGGUACCCUUCUGAAAGCAAGCAUUCUAGAAAUGAUCCAUUCAUGUGGAUAUACUGUUAGAUUAGGCUAGUGUUGUUUUUUCAUUUUGCCUUUUCUGUAAUGACCAUUUUUUUUUUCUCAACAUGUAUUUAAAGGAUGAAGGCAGUAUUUGCAUGAUGUAUCUGUUACAUAAUGCUUUUGCUUAUUUGGUUUAGGCACAGAAAUUGUAAAUAUAGGCACAAAAAUUAUAAACUCAUUUUAACCCUUAUUUUCUAAAUUAUUUAACAUCCAAAUCAGGUCAGCAAACUGGCUUGUGAGCCUCUUUUUGUAAAUAAAAUUUUAUUGGAAAGCAGCCACACCCAUUUGUUUACAUGUUGUUUAUAAAGGGAGAGUUAAAUAGUUGCCACAGAGACUGGCUGGCCCCUAAGUCUGAAAUAUUUGCAUAUGGUCCUUCACAGAAAGUUUGCUGAUCGUUAAUCAAAUAAUAAAACCUAAAAUCUUAGAAAAAGCAAAAGAAUAACCUCAAAACAUCAAAGUGAGUGCCUUUCAUCCUAAUAAAUUUAGCUUUCAGUAUCCAUUGAUCACUGCACAUGUUUUUUGGCUCAAACUUUGAAAUAUGAAGCUAUGUACAGACCCAAAUUACGAAGAGCAACUUGACCAGAGGUGAAGAAAUGCUCAGGAGUGGGAAUCUGAGAACCUGGGUUUAUUCUAGCAUUUUGUCAGCAACCUGGCGACAGCUAUUGGUGGUACACUUAACCACUCUGGGCCUUUGUUUUCACUAUUAGUAAAACACUGAUUUGGUUAAAAGACUUCAGAGAUAGAGUUUUUGUAUUUUGUUAUCUUCUUCAUGCUUCCAUAGAUUGUUCAACCAAUGAUUGAUUUUGCAUGGAGGUGCCAGUUUUGAAGGGCUAAGUUGCUAACUUCUUGAUAACUUUGCUUGUUUUGGUAGUGGUAGUUUGUGGGGGGUUGUUGUUUGUUUGCUUUUGUUUUCAACAUGACCUGUGUGGGCACGCUGGACAUGAAACUUCAUUGUCUGUGAAAAAUUUUCCUUGUUCCUGAUUAUGUUUGCUUUUGGCUUUUCAUAACUAUCUGUGACCUACGGCUUUACACAAUAGGCCAGAUGACUUUCUGUUCUAAAAGUGCCUGACCCACAAAUCAUUUAACUUACAUGCUCUUAAUUCCGUGAUCAGACUGAGUCCUUUGUUCCUUCCGCUUUCUGAUGACAUUUGUACAUAGAUUUUUCUCAGUAAUGAUAAUGAGCUGGCUUUUCUUUCCCCUUGAUUGUUAACUCAGGAAAUUACAAGCACAUUGCUGAUUUGAGAUAGUGCAGUUUAGUGGUGUGGACACACCUGGGCUCAGAUCCUUGCUUUCUUAUUUACUAGCUGGUUGACUGUGGUCAAGUUACUUAAGUUUCUGUAAGGCUUAGUUUCCUUAUCUGUAAAUUGUGAAUAAUACUAGUAUCUCUCAUAGGAUUGCUGUAAGAUUUAAACGAUCGUACCUUGGAAAAUGCUUUCAUACAGUACCUGGCUCACAGAAGGGGCUUUGUGAACAUUAACUGCUCUUACUAUCAUAAUCAGUAAUAUUAUUUAUAAUGCUGUCAGGCUUGAUGAAUGGGAGAAAUAUUAUUCAUCUGUAGAAAUAAAAACAAAAGCCUUCACGGAAAUAGUUGUAGUUAACAUAAAAUUCUUCACAUUGUCAUAAACAUUCAGUUUAAUAUGUACCUGUUAAUAAAAUUUUAAAGGACA